rnacentral:rRNA from 1 species
ACCGUGUACAAGUCCUUUGGAACAAGGCGUCAUAGAGGGUGAGAAUCCCGUCUAAGACACGGACUGCCAGUGCUCUGUGAUACACUCUCAACGAGUCGAGUUGUUUGGGAAUGCAGCUCAAAAUGGGUGGUAAAUUCCAUCUAAAGCUAAAUACAGGCGAAAGACCGAUAGCGAACAAGUACCGUGAGGGAAAGAUGAAAAGCACUUUGGAAAGAGAGUUAAACAGUACGUGAAAUUGUUGAAAGGGAAACGCUUGAAGUCAGUCGCGUCUUCAGAAAUUCAGCCUGGCUUCUGCCUGGUGUACUUUUCUGUUGGACGGGCCAGCAUCAGUUUUGGCCGCCAGAAAAAGGUGGGAGGAAGGUGGCACCUCCGGGUGUGUUUAUAGCCUCUCAUCGUAUGUGGCGGCUGGGACUGAGGACCGCAGCACGCCUUUAAUGGCCGGGGUUCGCCCACGUAACGUGCUUAGGAUGCUGGCGUAAUGGCUUUAAACGACCCGUCUUGAAACACGGACCAAGGAGUCUAACAUGCCUGCGAGUAUUUGGGUGGUAAACCCAUAUGCGGAAUGAAAGUGAACAGUUGGGACUUCUGUCAUGGAAGGCACCGACGCCCGGACCAGACCUAUUGUGACGGAUCCGAGGUAGAGCAUGUAUGUUGGGACCCGAAAGAUGGUGAACUAUGCCUGAGUAGGGUGAAGCCAGAGGAAACUCUGGUGGAGGCUCGUAGCGAUUCUGACGUGCAAAUCGAUCGUCGAACUUGGGUAUAGGGGCGAAAGACUAAUCG